rnacentral:rRNA from 1 species
GACGAACGCUGGCGGCGUGCUUAACCCAUGCAAGUCGAACGGAAAGGCCCUGCUUUUGUGGGGUGCUCGAGUGGCGAACGGAUGAGUAACACGUGAGUAACCUGCCCUUGACUUUGGGAUAACUUCAGGAAACUGGGGCUAAUACCGGAUAGGAGCUCCUGCUGCAUGGUGGGGGUUGGAAAGUUUCGGCGGUUGGGGAUGGACUCGCGGCUUAUCAGCUUGUUGGUGGGGUAGUGGCUUACCAAGGCUUUGACGGGUCGCCGGCCUGAGAGGGUGACCGGACACAUUGGGACUGGGAUACGGCCCAGACUCCUGCGGGAGGCAGCAGUGGGGAAUAUUGCACAAUGGGCGGAAGCCUGAUGCAGCAACGCCGCGUGCGGGAUGACGGCCUUCGGGUUGUAAACCGCUUUCGCCUGUGACGAAGCGUGAGUGACGGUAAUGUGUAAAGAAGCACCGGCUAACUACGUG